AUUAUCAAAAUUAAACAAACAAAAGGAAGACUGUACAUAGUGAGGAUCAAAAGGGUACGCUAUGCAAAUGACUAGAAGUGUACGUGUACUUUAAUCG